GUAGUUGAACCUUGGGCCUGGCUGGCCGGUCCGCCUCACCGCGUGUACUGGUCCGGCCGGGCCUUUCCCUCUGUGGAACCCCAUGCCCUUCACUGGGUGUGGCGGGGAAACAGGACUUUUACUUUGAAAAAAUUAGAGUGCUCCAGGCAGGCCUAUGCUCGAAUACAUUAGCAUGGAAUAAUAGAAUAGGACGUGUGGUUCUAUUUUGUUGGUUUCUAGGACCGCCGUAAUGAUUAAUAGGGACAGUCGGGGGCAUCAGUAUUCAAUUGUCAGAGGUGAAAUUCUUGGAUUUAUUGAAGACUAACUACUGCGAAAGCAUUUGCCAAGGAUGUUUUCAUUAAUCAGGAACGAAAGUUAGGGGAUCGAAGACGAUCAGAUACCGUCGUAGUCUUAACCAUAAACUAUGCCGACUAGGGAUCGGACGAUGUUAUUUUUUGACUCGUUCGGCACCUUACGAGAAAUCAAAGUGCUUGGGCUCCAGGGGGAGUAUGGUCGCAAGGCUGAAACUUAAAGAAAUUGACGGAAGGGCACCACCAGGGGUGGAGCCUGCGGCUUAAUUUGACUCAACACGGGGAAACUCACCAGGUCCAGACACAAUAAGGAUU
rnacentral:rRNA from 2 species